rnacentral:rRNA from 1 species
UGUUGCCAGCGGUCCGGCCGGGAACUCAAAGGAGACUGCCAGUGAUAAACUGGAGGAAGGUGGGGAUGACGUCAAGUCAUCAUGGCCCUUACGACCAGGGCUACACACGUGCUACAAUGGCGCAUACAAAGAGAAGCGACCUCGCGAGAGCAAGCGGACCUCAUAAAGUGCGUCGUAGUCCGGAUUGGAGUCUGCAACUCGACUCCAUGAAGUCGGAAUCGCUAGUAAUCGUGGAUCAGAAUGCCACGGUGAAUACGUUCCCGGGCCUUGUACACACCGCCCGUCACACCAUGGGAGUGGGUUGCAAAAGAAGUAGGUAGCUUAACCUUCGGGAGGGCGCUUACCACUUUGUGAUUCAUGACUGGGGUGAAGUCGUAACAAGGUAACCGUAGGGGAACCUGCGGUUGGAUCACCUCCUUACCUUAAAGAAGC